rnacentral:piRNA from 1 species
CNGGAUAAAGUGUGAACUCCUCAGUGGG